CUCUGUGGAGUUGUGUCAGUAAGCUCUGUGCAUGUCGGCAAUAUGUGUGAGACGAAAAAUUCUUUUCUAUUUCUCUUUCCUUUUGUAAUCUCUUUCUUCUCCAAAUACUCUUUUUUCUUCUUCUUUUCAUUUCUCUGUAUUUUACAAUUAAAUAUGUGUGUGUUGCAAAGUCUUUCUCCUCUCUACUUCUCUAUUUUCUUUCUAGUUUUUUAUUUUCGUUUCAUUCUCAAAUCUACAGAUUUUUAUAAUCGAAAAAUAAAUUCAUCUCAGAUGAAAGUUGUGUCGAAUUUGAGAAGGAUCAGCUGAUGAAUUCUCUUCCCAUGAUUGGGAAGUUGCUGAAGAUCGAAGAUGAAUCCAGAGUGAUGGAUAGCAAUUUUGUGAUGUUUGUUUAUAUAGAUAACAUCUAUGUUAGCAAUCAUUUUACUUGUUAACCAAUAUUAUUUAUGUUUAUUGGUGUAUCUUUUGUUUUCUAUCGCCAUUUGAGAUAAAUAGUUUGUUAGCUGUUAUUAUUUAGUUUUCGCUAAUUGAUAAUAUGUGGUAAAGUGUUAUAA